rnacentral:misc_RNA from 1 species
GCGACUUCUGUCUCUAGCGGCGGGCGGGUGAGUAACACGUGCGUAACCUGCCUCAUAGAGGGGGAUAGCCUCCCGAAAGGGAGAUUAAUACCGCAUAACAUCAUGCUUUGGCAUGGAAGUGUGAUCAAAGUAGUAAUCCGCUAUGAGAUGGACCCGCGGCGCAUUAGCUAGUUGGUGAGGUAACGGCUCACCAAGGCGAAGAUGCGUAGCCGACCUGAGAGGGUGAUCGGCCACAUUGUAUCCAGACACGGUGAAGACUCCUACGGGAGGUCGGAUGUGGGA